UGAAGCAUGGGGACGGCAGUUUGCUGGACGUACGCGUCCCGGGGACGAUACGCAAAAAAUACGCGUAAAAUACGUCCCCGGGGACGUAUUUUUAAAGCCCGAUUUUUUAAUUAUUUUUUAAAUUAAAAAUACGUCGAAAAUAUGUUGACAAUACGGUCAGAUACGUAUUUCUCUCAAAAAAUACGUUUUAGACAUAAUUUAAAACUUCUAACUUCUUAGACCCUAAUUCGCGCCUCCCCCACUUACAAUUAACGUUCUCCUCUCUGACCCACCCCUGCGCCACCCCGCCGCUCGCCGUCGCGCCUCCCUGCGCCACCCCGCCGUCGCCGUUGCGCCGCCCUGCGCCCUGCCGCUGUCGCCGUCGCACCGCCCUGUGCGCUUGGAGCAGUCCGGCCACCUUAACAACUAAAGCCAUGAAGAUUUGAGGGAAGAGGAAGAGGAGGAGGAGGAGAAAGACGAUGAUGAGUGAAAAGGGCUACUAACAUUUUAUUGUGUUUCAUGAAGUAUUAUCUGUUAAGACUGUUUUAUUUCAUUAUUUGCUAUUUGGAACUUUGUUAUGAUGAAUUAGUAGUGUUUUACUUAUAUUCUUGGUGAA